rnacentral:tRNA from 1 species
GCCGGGGUGGCGGAACGGCAGACGCAGCGGACUCAAAAUCCGCCGGUAGCAAUACCGUGAGGGUUCGAGUCCCUCUCCCGGCACCA